rnacentral:rRNA from 1 species
CAGUCGCCGCGGGAAUACGUAGGGUGCGAGCGUUAAUCGGAAUUACUGGGCGUAAAGCGUGCGCAGGCGGUUCGUUAAGACAGAUGUGAAAUCCCCGGGCUUAACUCGGGAACUGCAUUUGAAACUGGCAGGCUAGAGUCUCGUAGAGGGGGGUAGAAUUCCAGGUGUAGCGGUGAAAUGCGUAGAGAUCUGGAGGAAUACCGGUGGCGAAGGCGGCCCCCUGGACGAAGACUGACGCUCAGGUACGAAAGCGUGGGGAGCAAACAGGAUUAGAUACCCGGGUAGUCCCUGUCUCUUAUAC